rnacentral:rRNA from 1 species
UACGGAGGGUGCGAGCGUUAAUCGGAAUUACUGGGCGUAAAGCGUACGCAGGCGGUUUGUUAAGCGAGAUGUGAAAGCCCCCGGGCUUAACCUGGGAAUGCAUUUCGAACUGGCAGGCUAGAGUGUGAUAGAGGGUGGUAGAAUUUCAGGUGUAGCGGUGAAAUGCGUAGAGAUCUGAAGGAAUACCGAUGGCGAAGGCAGCCACCUGGGUCAACACUGACGCUCAUGUACGAAAGCGUGGGGAGCAAACAGGAUUAGAUACCCCCGGUAGUCC